AAAUUUUAAAUAUAAAUUUUUAGGAAUUAAAAAUAUUUACAAUAAAAAUAAAAAUAAAAAUAAAUUAACUAAAAUUAUUCAAAUAUAGUGACGUAAUGAUGGAUUAGAUAAUGGCAUGAGUCUAAAAAGAGGAAGAUCAUAGGAGCCAGGGCAAUACAAGCAAGUUAAGUUCUUCCACAUAGAGGGCCAAAAAAGUAAAUUGCAAUCUAAACAUAAGAAGAACUAAAGUAAUUUAAACAUUAAUAAAUAAAAAAAGACUAAUCCAUAAAAAAAAGGGGAGAAAAUCUUCCAAUUCCGACCACCAAAUCUCCUCUACAGUGGAAAACAGCAGACUUUAUGCGAAAAAAGUCUCUCACGCGACUCCCUUAACAAAUUUUUUUAUAUUAAAACCACGCCGUCUUAGCUUUGACGCUGCAUUUUUGGUUUCGGCCUCACAACCCAAACCGCCCGAUCAACAUCCCUUAACGUUAGCAACUUUCAAAAAGUCAAUCGGUUUGCUGAGGUGGCGAAAUCAGAGAGGUGCAUGGUGCCUAGAGAUUAAGAAAAUAUAAUAGAGAAAAAAAAACAGAGCGUGAAAAGAGGGUAGACAGUCACGAAAUCUCAUCACCGUCGGGAUCUUAUAGAGCGCAUGCAUUCGUGCACGCUUCGGCUCGUGUUUCUAUAUAGGAGAGAGAGAGAGAGAGAGAGAGAGUAGUUUUCUUUUAAUUCUUUUUUAAUAUUUUGGGUCAAAGGAUAGUUAAAUGGCCUACAAAUACCAUGCACGCGAGACUAAGGUGACAGCAGGAUGUACGGUGACCGAGCCGAGUUUUUAAGAGAUGAACAGCGUGGAUGGUCGACACGUCUUGAUUUCAAGGGCUAAACCAGUUUUGGGGCUCUGCGGGGCCCAAUGCCACAGCGGCUAUUGCGGACGCGUAGCCGCCAUCGACGUGCUUUCUUCUGGCUUUUAUCUCUUUUUUAUUUUCUUUCUUAUGAGGUUGGUACUUUGUUUUUGUUUUAAUUGCUAUUCCUCCC
rnacentral:lncRNA from 1 species